UCUCUCUCUCUCUCUCUCUCUCUCUCUCUCUGUGGUCUCGUCCAUAUAUAGAGAUCAUAGAUCUCAGCCAUUUACUCACCUUCUUUGUUUUUCUGUGCAAAACAGUAUGCUUUUUUCUCCUUUGUUUCUUGCUCAUUUUUAUUGCUUGUACUUAUUUGUUUUCUCCCCAAUCAAUAUGUAUAUAUAAACCGCUUUACCUCUAUCGGGUUCUUGCUUUUUUUGUCCGUCUGAUAUAUCAAUUUUGUUUGUUGAUUUACCUUUUCUUUGUGGGCUUAAUCGCUGAAAUCUGGCAUGGAGAGAUAUGUUGCAGACCGGGGCUUUCUUUUCCUGUGCCGGAAUCUGACUCGGCUUCCCUUUCGAACUGUUUCUGUUGCCGGAAUCUAAUCGGAGAAAUCUGACCCAGAUAUGAUUUCGAAAGUGUCAAGUCAAUUCGAUACAGAUGGUUUCAGUCUCCAGUUUCUGUGACUUCAUAAAUAGUAGUGAAUUAUAAUUUCUUUCUUUGGGGUACAGAAAACUUAUGAAUAGGGUUUUGUUUUGUUUUGUUUCAAUAGGUCUUUACUCGAUAGUUGAAAGUUUUGUUCCUAUAGUCGUGUUGGACACGGUAGAUUCUUCUUGGUGGUACCCCUCACGUACUACUUUAUGUUUCAACCACUCAUAAUCGAACAAGUCAUCUUUUCUUGUGGCGUCGGGCUAAGUCGUACAUGAAAUGUCAUAUUUUUUCCAUUCUUCAUUUUUAUUUCCUUCUUUUUGUCUUUCCUUUUCUUGACGAGGGUCUCCCAAUGGAAAUGUUCGGAUGUACUUCUGCUACCUUUCUUGAUAUAAUAUUUAGUGCACAUAUUCGGUAAAAUCAGGCGUUGUGCAUGGACGAUAUAUAGAUUGACAGUCAGUUGUUUGCGGGUGUAGCAUCAUCAAGAUUCACAUGCAAAUGCACAGAGGUUGAUUGCAAAAUCUGCACUCUGCCACAGUUCUUUUGAAAGUGAGAAUCUUGAUGAUGCUGCAUCGGCAAUAAACGACUACACAAAUUAAAGAGGAUGAUCUCUUGCACUAUUCAAUACUGCCUCUUUUGCACUUGAACCCAGGUGAUCCUUUCCUUCCGAGUACUUUCUGUUACCGUAAGCUGGGUUUUCUUUCUAUCUUCAGUUUUUUUCCCAAAACAAUCUGAGUGGGUUUACUGUAUGUAUAUUUUUAUAUGAUUGUCAGUUCUCACUCUGCAAACUGCGUAGAAUCUUAUAGACUAUUCAAGGACUUCUGCUGACCUUCUCUAGAUCUGUGAAUAUUCCUCUGAGCCAAACUUGCUAGGGUGGAAAUAGUAUCUUCUCAGGUGCUUAUAGAUGGAGAUGGGGGAUAUAUACUUCUGUCUAUUUCUAGAAAUCAAGAGAGAGAGAAUCUUGAUGAUGCAGCUUGGGCUAUAGAAUUAACAUAUUAUCGGGAAAGAAAGGCAAAGAAACAGUUACUGGUGGAUGACAAGUCAUCACAUGAGCAUUCUAAGAAUGGAUGGGAAAAUUUGAGAAAAAAACUGCGAAGAAAGGUGACCAAAAAGGAAGUACUUAGCUUUCACGUUCGGUUCUUUCAUCCGGUUUGAUUAUCUCAGCUAUAUAUCAAUAGCUUAUUGAAGUUUUUGCUUCUUUCCAUUCGAAUCACGACACGAUUCAAAAAACUAUACACAUCGACUUUUUAUAGACAUUCUGCCUAGUGGGUUUUUAUUUGGAAUUAAGCAGAAAAUUGAAAAUUAAUAGGAACGAGAGUUUGGACUUUGGAUCCGAAAAAUCAGAGUAGGAGCUUAUUUUCCCAGCCAGAAUUAUCUUUACCAGUUUACCUUCAGCAGCAUUAAUCACCCAUCACUCUUGUUUGUGGACCAAACUUAAAAGAUCAGACAUCUUGCAACUUGGAUCAUUCGGCUGGCAUGUAGUAACUCUAAAAGAGAGAUAUUGGUCAGUCCAUGAAUUAUAUUUACCACCUGAUCUUCAAAAAUAUUUUACCCAAAAAAAGUCCAAAAAAAAUGUCUUUAUUUUCUUACUUUUCUUCUCUUCUGCUUCAUUCAUGACAGCAGUUAUAAUUGUCACUUCAAAAUUCUGGAAAUCUGUGUGCCUCUAUCACUGUCUAAGCUGUCCUGGUUCACCUGCAAUAUUGGGGCUUCAGUAGAAGGGUAUAUGCCCAUGCUUUGCUUUAUUGGUUCUAAACAAGCUGGCUAGCUGUGAAAUAUUAGGACCACUGAUUUCUCCAAACUGUUAUUAAUUAAUGAGACCAAAACAGAUCAUACUAAAUAAUCCAUAAAUAUAAUAUAGAUCAUCAUCGACAUCAUAAAAUCUUGUUUGUUCUUCUGGUUUUGUCUUUUUUUUUUUUCAUCUGCAGAACUUGAAAUUUCCACGAUUAAUUGCCUUUUGGUAGUUAAAUGUAUAGUGCGAUAAAUAAUGACUCGCUAUAUAUAUAUAUAUAUAUAAGAAAAUUAUUUGGCCAAGUAGGAAAAAGUACUGUACCCUACGUUAAAUCUUCAGCAUGGUAGUCAUUUAUAUGGAUGGCAGCACUCUGUUUCAGACGCAUGCAAAACAUGUUUAGGGUUUAGAUUUAAAAAGAAAAAGAAAGAAAAAACUCUAUGAUUAUUAUUUUAAGACAGGAUAUUUAGUCAUAUUUGUUCUUAUUAUAACAGAGUACUGGAUCUACAUUAAUAUUGCUAAUCUUGCCAUGCGUGGAUAUAUAGUAUCAUGUACGUCUAGCAUUGCUGGCUACCUACACUAAUCUAUUUCUUAUAGAACAUAUAUAAUUCACUACAAGAAAUUUGAGUUUAGGGACCAAAUCUUCUAAGGAUAAAUUAAAUUUGGUCCCUAAAAGUAAUUAUUUGAGGCGAAAAAUUAUAUUUCGUCCAAAAAUAUCGAAUCAGUUUUUUACAAGUUCAAACAGACAAAUAUUUAUUCAAACUAGAGUUUCUAGGAUGGAAUAUAGCGUCUCAAUAAACAAAAUAGUUUGAACGUUCCCAAAACAUGUUCGAACAAUAUGAUAUUUCACAUUUGAAUGUUGACAUAACUAUUCGAAUGAUACUUGUGGCGAAUGAUAGUUGUGGCGGGGGAAAGUUAGAAACCGUUCGAAUGUGAGAUCCAAUCAUUUGAACAUUUUUUUUGGUGGGAAGUUAUGAAUAACUCUAGUGGGGAUGGUUGCUAUCCCGUUUGAACGGUGGCGUAUAUAAUCGAAAUAAAUUUAAUUAUAGAAAUUUAUUGAGAAGCAUUCAAAUAUUUGAAAAAUAAAUAUUAUAUGAGUUUAUUAAUUCUCAUUUUCAAAAGUUGAAAAAUCUUCAUAUACAGAUUAAUUAUUAUUUAUGGUACAUUGAAAUAUAUCAUAUAUGCCAUCCUAAAGAUUUUAUAUAAUUAAUUUAAAUAUUAAUUAACGGUUUUGUAACACCCAUUCUUGGGGUGGAAUUUUAGAAAAUGAUUUUAGACUACGAGACGAGAAUUACUGACUUUUUUAAAUUGAGUUCUUUAAAAAAAAAAAUAUUUCAUAAAUUACAUAAAAGGCCUAGGCUUUCGUCAUCUUUUUCUUGGGCCAUGUUUGUUUUAACGCUUCGUCUUCAUUUCAUUCUUGUGUGGGGCACACAUAAAAAUAAAAUAAGUCGAACACUCAGUAAGCAUCACCUCAUACCGUAAAAAUAUAAGAACAUAAGUUUCAUUCAUGCAUUCUUACUCAUAUACAUACUUUACAUAAGUUUCAAUUAUGCAUUCCCACCUUGUACUCUCUUUCAUAAAACUAAAACCUUUCAUUCAUACAAUUAAUUUGAUCACUUUUCCUCUAGCCGUUAUACACUAUUACACCCCGUGUGUUGGGGUUAACGGUCUUUUGAGUCCAAUUUCACCUGUGGCUGUAAAUUGGGAAUCCCUUAGUUAAGGGGUAGCCUUGGGUGCACUACCAAUAUUAUUUAUUGGACAUUGCAAUCUGUCCUGUCCUUUGGUACUAUCAUUCAUUUAUCAGUCAUGAUUGUUACGUAGUUUCAUUCAUUAAAACAUUCAUUUUUUUUUACUCAUUUCCUUUCCUUUCUUUUUAUUCAUUCCUUUCAUUCAUCAAUUCAUUUCAUUAAAACAUCUUUUCGUAACAUAGAACAUAAAUCCUCAUCAUUCAUUUCAUGGAACAUGCAUGCAAUACAUACUAUGUAUAACAUCUAUUCACAUGCAUACAACUAUUCUUUGAGUGCGUAAAAAGGGGCUGCCAAAUAAGGUCAGUACAUACAUAUACUUAAACCUUUAUACCUUAGCAUAGAUUUAAAAAGCAUUUUAUUAAACCAUUCAUUUUCAUUUUCAUAGCUUUAAAAACUCUAGAAAAGCAUGAAUAUAAUACUUCCUUGGACUCCAUGCUAUGCACAUUUCAUCUAAUCCAUUCAUUUGAGUGUCAGAUGGAAACCUAUAUGCAUACACAACCUCACUUAAUUUCCUUUUCAUUUACAAGAACACUAAAAGUAGAACUUGCAUAAUAAAACUAUCUCCCUAACUCUUAGUCCAUUCUCUCCCUUAUGGCUUUAACCUCUCAUUGGUUCCUUACUUGGACUUCUCACACUUAGAUUAGUCAUUGUCCAAAUAAUCUUCAUUAUCUAUUUACUUGCAUACUCUUCCAUAAAAUUUCUAAUUGUACAAACUUACACCUCUACCUAUUCAAAAUAUCCAUUUCCUUUCACUUACACGAGUCAUCAUCCAAUCCUUGAAGUAUAACCCUUGCCAUCAUCAAUCUUAAGCCUAAACUAUGAAUCUAGAAGCCCAACUUCAUUCUCUAACUAAUAAAGUGAGAUUUCAUGCUUCACUUUAAUCCAAACCAUCACUUUCCCUCACAAAACCUUCUUGGAAAUCCCUUUGGUCUUCCCUAUGCGCCACUUCCCUAUGCAUGGCUUUCUUGGAAAUUGAAAAUGUGUCCAUCUAGAAGAUGCUAGGCGUGUAGGAUAGCUUGGCCGAGUGCCUCUUGGUUUUUCCUAUGCAUCUCAGCAUUUCAUUUUUCUAGAAGCAUCUUUGCAUGAGUGACAAAUGGCAAUGCUACUAGGGUUAGGUGUGUAAGCCUUCCCUUGGGCUUUCCUAACACUCUUGUCUCCCCCUUGGCCCAUUAUCAACACUAGAUACCAUUAGGGAUUGAAUGUUAAGCUAAAGUUUAAGUCGUCUUGGGUUUUCCCUUAUGGUUGAAUUACACUAAGAGUUCUUAGGAAUAAAAUCCACAAUUAAGCUUAUAAAGCCUCUUCUUCCCUUAAAUCACCAGGGCCCUCUAUCACUAAGGCAAGAAAAUAUUUCAUGGCCCAUGCUUCACUAUGUUGGGUCAUCACAUCCUCCCCUCCUUGAAAAAAAGAUUUCUUCCUUGAAAUCAGUACUCCGACAGUAACCAUAACAAUUGUAGUUAGAUCUAGGGUUACUACCUCCCCUCGUUGCUGCCAUGGAUUCUUCUGAAGAUGAGGAUGAGGGUGGUGCUUGAUCCAAUUCUUUUGUUACUGAAUCUUGAGAAAAAUAGAACACCGCAUCUAGGUCGUAGUCAAAAUACAUGUUCACCCGCAUUUCAUUUAAUUUGUGCUCUAUCUCAAGCUCCUUGUCCUUGAUAGGUUGGCCUUCUUCACGGAAACGAAUGCGAUUUGUAGAUGUGUCUGAGGUCUCACAAGGCAUAAACUUAAUCAAGCAUUCUUCCACUGCAUGACUUGAUUCCACUUCUGGAUUAAAAUUUCGUAGAUUCUCCAUUUCUGCUUCUUUCCAGCUAGGUUGAGGUUUCUGGUCCUCACGGUAAUGCUCGUUGAUUAUAAAGGUUACCAUGGAAGUCUAUAUACAAAACGUGAGUACGAUGGUGCUCAAAUUUCUUUAUUUGUCUUAACUGAGCUGCCAUCAUUUGCUAAAAGACAAGAAGGAUUUUCGGUUUCCUCCUACCACACACCCACCCAUGAGUUUUCUUAGAUUUUUGCCAAGUGCCAACCAUGUAAAGAGUUUCUAGAGGAAAAGAUGAAAGGACAUUAGCACAAAAGACCAUCUUAACCCUAAAGUUUCAGCCACCACACUCAAGGCACACACUCACACGCCACUUGUUAACUAGGGUUACAACAAAAGGCUUUGGAAAGUGGAAGGUCAACUCGAGAAUGUGCAUGGAAUGAGAAAGACCUCCAUAGGGAAGGGAGAGAGAGAGGGGCGGCAUCUAGAAACCUCCACAUGCCUAAGCCAUGUGGCAUCUAUGCAACAUGUUAUUUUGAGAAAAGGAAGAGAUUAGUGAGUAAUUUUACCUAGUAGCCCUAAUGUACACGAUUGCACUUAGAAACUUUUGAGAGGGGCAUUUGAGGCAUUUGGCCAAGAGGGGAGGAACCCCACACGCCACCUCAAGCUUUGAUCUUUUCCAAGGCAAUCUCAUGAUAAAACUCAAGGGACAUGGAAGGCAAGGGGGAAGGAAGAAGGACAAUGCCAUUUGUCCUUUAUACAAUGGGUUUCAAGUGACCAAUAAGAUUUUGUGGAAAAGUUCUAUAUAAAGGGGAGAGAGAUACACGCUCAAGGGUUUCUUUUGCCAUUUUUGGACCUCUCAUGUUCUCACCUUCUUGAUUCUCUCUCACACAAGCAUUCAAAGGAUUUCUCACUUUCUCACACUUUCCUUCCAACCAAACAAAGGAAAACUACCUUCAAGAAGAGAUUUCGGCUUAGCAAAGAAGAAGCAUGGUGAGAUUUACUUUCUUGAUUCAUGCACACACCCACACAUGACAUAUUAUCAACUCGUGGAGAUGAGAAUCUCUAAAUAGUUUCAGUUUUGACCAAACACUCACAGUCUCACACUGUUCUUAAUGAACCAACUAGGGUUUCCUAGGGUUUGGGAUAAGCCAAAUAAUGAGGAGUUCAAAUCCUUCAUGUAUUUAGCCAAAUACUUGCCUUUUUACCUUAUUUUGAGUUAUGGAGAAGAACACAAGAAAAUGAGAGACUUCUUAACUCAAAACCCUAGAAACCAAUUGACCUAUUGGUGUUUAAACUCGAGUAGUAGCCUUAGCAAUCACACACACACUUUUACCUCAUGGAUUGGGGUUUUUAGAGCCCUCAUUCUAACUAUUUACACUUCAAUUUACAGCUUGCUAUUUGUUAAUCUCCAUGGAUUUUUAUAAGUACACACUCAACUUACUUCUUAUUAAUGCAUGUACACUUUUGUGCAAAUCCUUAGUUUGUUUCUAUUACUUUGAUUGCUAUUCUUAUUUUCUUGAUUGAAUACUCUUACAUGAACUUGGAAUAUGAUUAUGGAAUGGCUAAUGUGGUUUAUGAUGAAAAAUGGUGAUAAGAUUCUGAUGUGCUUAAUUUCUAUAUAAGUUUUGUCAUACUUUUAUUCUUAAUUUUAUACUAGUUUGUGUUUAAUUUUCUUAUUUCUUAGAGUUUUUAUUUAUUUUGUUUAGGAAUAAAUAAACUGAAGGAGUCAUCAAAAGAAUAAGAAACAUUCAGUUCUCGAAAUUCCUUAAGUACCCUUUGGUAAUUGAAAGAUAAUUUUUUCUAAAAAACUCCAAUAAGGGUAAUUUCAGUGUCUACAGAAAGCCAAGAGAAACUCCUAGAACUUUUAUUUUAAAUCCUUGGCCAAAAAUGAAUAUCUAGAAGGCGGAAAGGGUGCAUCAAUUCAAAAGUUGCAAAACUGCCAAAUUCCUGAAAUACCUUUCAGUAUUUAGGGCAUAACGUCUUGUAGAAAACUCCAAUAAGGGUAAUCUCGGUGUCUACGUAAAACUGAGAUAAAAACCUACAACUUUAGUGUUUAAGGGAGGGCCGAAAACGAAUAUCUUUAGGGACAAAACAGCGCUUCAAGCAGAAGAUAAAAAAUUUGCAGAAUUGGAGUUCAUCAAUGAUAGAGAUUCUUGAUCUACAUAGAGUUUCCUUCUUAACUCUUUAAUAUUCUCUUUGUAUAAUUCUCAUUAUGAAUUCCAUAAUUAUUAUGAUUUGUUUUGAUUAGAUUAUGAACUAAUUUCUAUUGCUAUGGCUAUAUUGUAGCUUUUUCAUGACAAUUCCGAACCUUAUUUCGUUGUGAUCAUAAUUUUAUCAUUCAUUUUGAGUAUACAUCAUUGAGUUUAAUGCCUUGAAUUAUUUAGCCAAUAGUUGAAUGAUUUGUUGUUCAUGUUAAUUUGAGAGAUGAUGCAUGUAGUUUAGUUUCAUAUGAUGUAUGUCAUGAAUUAAACGAAAGACAAGAAUGUGCCAACCUGAUUUGUGCGGCUUUUACGUGAAAUAUUAUUAAUCUUAAUGUGGUCAAAUGCUUUUAAAUUUGUAUGGACAUAUCGCGGGUUAUCGUAGGUUGAGUAAUUCUAAUUCUACUCGAGAGAGGGUCUUAGAUAAGUUAGAAUAUUUCACUGUCAAAUAUGAUGAUGAUAGUUGAUUGAUUGUAUGGUUAAGAUUUGAGAUUGGAUUGGUUAAGUGAGUCGGAUGCCUUAGUGUUUUAUUCUUGGGUGAAAUCUUCUUCUUUUCAAGUGUUUGGUCAAUUCUUUAUUUGUUGAUUUAAUUUAAUUUGUUGCUGUUUUUCUAAUUCAAAAUCCACCACAUUUCUUGAUUUUCAAAUAAUUUAGAAUUAAAACAAUUUCAAUAGUUAAUAGGUAAAUAGUUCUCGUGGGUUCAACAUCUUUCUUAUCAUUAUGUUAUUUGGUACGAUUUCGUACACUUGCAAAAUUUCACAAGUUUUUGCACCGUUGCCGAGGACUAUUUAUUUUCUAUUACUUUUGAUACCAACUAGUUCUAAGUUAAUGUGAAUUUUUUUUCUUUUUAAGUCUUGAUUGUUAAUUUGUUUUUAUUUUUCUUUUCAGCAUUCCCAAGUUAUGCAUGAGACGUACUCGAAGCUUGGAGUCAGUACCUUUUGACCUUAAAAUUGAACGCACCCUUCAUCGUUUGAACAAGGAGAAUGAGGAUUCCACAACUGAGAAUGAAACAAUGAAAGAUCAAGUUGGAAAUAGGACUUUGGGAGAUUAUGCUGUCCCUUUGGUCACCAGAGCUACUUCUAGCAUUAGACGACCUGCCAUUCAAGCCAAUAACUUUGAAAUAAAGCCAGCAAUUUUUCAAAUGAUGGAUUCAACGGUACAAUUUAGUGGCAUGCCACAUGAUGAUCCAAAUGCUCACAUAGCUAAUUUUUUGGAGUUAUGUGAUACUUUUAAACAUAACAUGAUUUCUGAUGAUACUAUUAGAUUGAGACUCUUUCCAUUUUCCCUCCGAGACAAGGCAAAAGCAUGGUUAAAAUUACUUCCAUCGUUAACCGUAACUACAUGGGAUGAUUUAGCUAAAAAGUUUCUAGCAAAGUUCUUUCCCCUAGCCAAAACUGUAAAGAUUCGAAAUGAUAUCACCACUUUUGUCCAAUUUGAUAUGGAGUUGCUUUAUGAAACUUGGGAUAGGUAUAAAGAAUUGCUUAGAAAGUGUCCACAUCAUGGACUUCCUGUUUGGAUUCAAGUGCAAAUUUUCUACAAUAGUUUACAACCUACAACACGUACAAUGAUUGAUGCAGCAGCGUGAGGGACUUUGAUGAAGAAAUCACCGGAAGACGCAUAUGAGUUGGUGGAGGAGAUGGUAACCAACAAUUAUCAAUGGCUAGUGGAUCGAGUGACAACAAAAAGAACUCAGAGAGUUCAUGAAAUUGAUCCUUUAUCUGCUUUAGCUGCUCAAGUUGUAGCUUUAUCUAAGAAAUUAGACAAUGUCCAUGUGAGUUCCAUUCAAUUUACUAAUGUAAUUUGUGAAUUUUAUGCAGGAAAUCAUAUGGGGGUAGAUUAUCAAGUGGGAAAUCUAUUCGCCAACAAUAGUUUGGAGUAAGCAAAAUUUGUGUCGAAUUACCAACGACAAAGCAAUCCUUAUUCCAACACUUACAAUUCAGGAUGGCGAAACUACCCAAAUUUACUAUGGAGCAACUCUCAGAAUGUUGUCAAGCCUCCACCAGGUUUUCAAAAUCAACAACAAGAGAAGAAGAUGAAUUUGCAUAAGAUGACUUGAAACAAAUGCCUAGUCAUGUGAAGUUCAUGAAGGAGAUUCUAUCAAAUAAGAGGAAAGUAGGAGAGUAUAAGACUGUGAUGUUGACUGAAGAGUGCACCGCCAUUUUCCAAAAUAAGUUGCCACCAAAGCUUAAAGAUCCAGGGAGUUUUACUAUUCCUUGCACCAUUAGAUACUCUUAUUUCGAAAAAAAACUUUGUGUGAUUUAGGUGCUAGCAUAAAUUUGAUGUCCUUUUCUAUUUUUAGGCAAUUGGGGAUAGGAGAGGUCAAGGCCACUACCGUUUCACUUCAAUUGGUGGACCAAUCCAUUAAAUGACCAAGAGGCAUAGUAGAGGAUGUUCUUGUUAAAGUUGACAAGUUUAUUUUCCCUGCAGAUUUUAUUAUUUUAGAUAUGGAGGAAAAUAGAGAAACCCCACUUAUUCUUGGUUGACCGUUCCUAACCACGUGAAGAGCUAUCAUAGAUGUGCAACAAUGAAAGCUAAUACUACGGGUGCAAGAUGAAAAAGUUACAUUCAAUGUGUUUGAGGCAAUGAAAUAUCUGUGAACAACCAAUACAUGCCUCAACAUAGAUAUGAUUAAGGAACUUAUGGUAGAAAUUUUUGAAGAGAGUUAUCCUAAGGAACAGCUUGAGGCAUGUCUUAUUUAAUCUGGCACUUCUGAUUCUAAGAAUUCCAAUAUAAGCAAUUGUCUACACUAUUUGAAAGCAUCUCCACCUUACUUACCUAAAGGGAAGUAAGAAAACAUAACAUUGGACGAAAACACUACUCCACAAAAGCCAUCCAUUAUUAAGGCCCAUUCUUUAGAACUCAAACCUCUUCCUUCUCAUCUUAAAUAUGCUUAUUUACAUGAUUCUUCUUUACCCGUAAUAAUUUCUUCAUCUUUGAUAGGUCUUGAAGAAGAGAAAUUAUUUCGAGUUUUGAGAGCUCACAGGCAAGCUUUGGGAUGGACUAUAGCCGACAUUAAGGGAAUGAGCCCUUCACUUUGCUUGCACAAGAUUUUAAUGGAAGACAAUUAUAAGCCUACAGUGUAGCCACAAAGGAGACUUAAUCCGAACUUGCAAGAAGUUGUGAAAAAGGAAGUUCUCAAAUUGUUGGAGGCCAGAAUUAUUUACCCUAUUUAUGAUAGCUCAUGGGUAAGUCCGGUGCAAGUAGUGCCCAAGAAGGGAGGAGUGACAAUGGUAGAGAAUGAAAAUAAUGAACUCAUCCUAACAAGAACAGUCACGGGUUGGAGAGUGUGCAUAGACUACUACAAGCUCAAUAAUGCCACACGAAUAGAUCACUUUCCACUUCAUUUCAUUGAUAAAAUGUUGGAACGGCUCGCAGGUCAUGCUUAUUAUUGUUUCCUAGAUGGAUACUCGGGAUACAAUCAAAUCCACAUUUCACCAGAAGAUCAAGAAAAGACCACUUUCACUUGCUCGUAUGGAACAUUUGCCUAUCGGAGGAUGCCCUUUGGUUUGUGCAAUGCUCCAGCCACAUUUCAACGAUGCAUGAUGGCCAUUUUUCCGGAGAUGGUGGAAAAGUUUCUUGAAAUUUUUAUGGAUGAUUUUUUCUGUCUUUGGUUCUUCAUUUGAUAAUUGUUUAAAUAAUAUAUCUUUAGUUCUACAAAGAUGUAAAGAAACUAACCUUAUUCUUAAUUAGAAAAAAUGUCAUUUAUGGUGCAGGAAGGAAUUGUACUUGGGCAUAAAGUUUCUUCCAAGGGCAUUGAGGUAGAUUGAGUCAAAGUAGAGGUGAUCAACAAAUUACCUCCACCUAGCACGGUCAAGAGUAUGAGAAGUUUCUUGGGACAUGCGGGGUUUUAUCUUCGUUUUAUUUAAGAUUUUUCUAAGAUUAUUAAACCCCUUUGUUCUCUUUUGGUCAUAGAUACUCCAUUUAACUUUUCCAAUAAUUUUUUGCAGGCAUUUGCACAUUUGAAUAAGAAGUUAAGUUCAGCCCCAAUUAGAAGUGCACCGGAUUGGGUACUUCCAUUUGAAUUGAUGUGUGAUGCAAGUGAUUAUACAAAGGAGUUGUGCUUGGAUAAAGGAAGAACAAGGUUCUCCAUGUUAUCUACUAUGCAAGUCGUACCUUGACUGAUGCCCAAUUAAAUUAUGCUACUACAGAAAAUGAAUUGUUUGCCGUGGUCUUUGCUUUUGAUAAAUUUAGAUCAAAUUUAAUUGGGUCAAAAGUAAUUGUUUACACUCAUCAUUUUGCUCUUAAAUACUUGUUAGCUAAAAAGGAAGUUAAACCAAGGUUACUUAGGUGGAUUUUACUACUACAAUAAUUUGAUUUGGAGAUCAAAGAUAAAAAGGGAAUCGAAAAUCAAGUAGUCGAUCA